rnacentral:rRNA from 1 species
AGUGAACGCUGGCGGUAGACCUAACACAUGCAAGUCGAACGGCAGCACAGUAAGAGCUUGCUCUUACGGGUGGCGAGUGGCGGACGUGUGAGGAAUACAUCGGAAUCUACUUUUUCGUGGGGGAUAACGUAGGGAAACUUACUCUAAUACCGCAUACGACCUACGGUUGAAAGCAUGGGAUCUUCGGACCUUGCGCGAUUGAAUGAGCCGAUGUCGGAUUAGCUAGUUGGCGGGGUAAAGGCCCACCAAGGCGACGAUCCGUAGCUGGUCUGAGAGGAUGAUCAGCCACACUGGAACGGAGACACGGUCAAGACUCCUACGGGAGGCAGCAGUGGGGAAUAGUGGACAAUGGGCGCAAGCCUGAUCCAGCCAUACCGCGUGGGUGAAGAAGGCCUUCGGGUUGUAAAGCCCUUUUGUUGGGAAAGAAAAGCAGCAGGUUAAUACCCCGCUGUUCUGACGGUACCCAAAGAAUAAGCACCGGCUAACUUCGUG